UACGGGGGGAGCAAGCGUUGUUCGGAUUUACUGGGCGUAAAGGGCGCGUAGGCGGCCAGCACAAGUCAGUUGUGAAAUCUCCGAGCUUAACUCGGAAAGGUCAACUGAUACUGUGCGGCUAGAGUGCGGAAGGGGCAACUGGAAUUCUUGGUGUAGCGGUGAAAUGCGUAGAUAUCAAGCAGAACACCUGCGGCGAAGGCGGCCUUCUGGACGAUGACUGACGCUGAGACGCGAAAGCGUGGGGAGCAAACAGG
rnacentral:rRNA from 1 species